rnacentral:rRNA from 1 species
AAUGAACGCUGGCGGCGUGCUUAACACAUGCAAGUCGUGCGCGAAAGCGGCUUCGGCCGCAAGUAGAGCGGCGAACGGGUGAGUAACACGUGGGUAAUCUGUCCUCGAGUGGGGGAUAAC